UCCUUGGCAGCCCAAUGGUUAGGACUCUGCACUUUCACUGCAGGAGGCAUGGGUUCAAUUCCCUAUCAAAGAA
rnacentral:tRNA from 1 species